rnacentral:rRNA from 1 species
GGGCGUAAAGCGAACGCAGGCGGAUGGUUAAGUAAGAAGUGAAAGGUCGGAGCUCAACUCCAACAUUGCUUCUUAUACUGGCCGUCUUUUUUCCCGGAGAGGAAAGGGGAACUGCACGUGUAGCGGUGAAAUGCGUUGAUAUGUGCAGGAACACCAAUGGCGAAGGCAGCUUUCUGGACGAGGACUGACGCUCAUGUUCGAAAGCCAAGGUAGCGAACAGGAUUAGAUACCCUGGUAGUCUUGGCCCUAAACUAUGUUCACUAGGUGUCGGGGGGUAACCUUCGGUGCCGCAGCUAACGCAUUAAGUGAACCGCCUGGGGACUACGGCCGCAAGGUUGAAACUCAAAGGAAUUGGCGGGGGCCCGCACAAGCGGUGGAGCAUGUGGCUUAAUUCGAUGCAACGCGAAGAACCUUACCCAGGCUUGACAUGGAUCUGCAAGCGUAUGAAAGUACGUCGCCUUCGAGGGUGAUCCGCAGGUGGUGCAUGGCUGUCGUCAGCUCGUGUUGUGAAAUGUUGGGUUAAGUCCCGCAACGAGCGCAACCCUCAUGUUCUGUUGCCAGCGCGUAAUGGCGGGAACUCGGAACAAACUGCCUCUGUAAAGAGGAGGAAGGUGGGGAUGACGUCAAGUCAUCAUGCCCCUUACGCCUGGGGCUGCACACAUGCUACAAUGGCUGGUACAAACAGUUGCGAUCCCGUGAGGGUUAGCUAAUCUGAAAAAACCAGUCUCAGUUCGGAUUGGAGUCUGCAACUCGACUCCAUGAAGCCGGAAUCGCUAGUAACCGCAGUCAGCAUACUGCGGUGAUACGUCCC